rnacentral:tRNA from 1 species
GGACCCGUAGCCUAGCGGAUAUGGCGGCAGCCUUCUAAGCUGCAGAUCGGGGGUUCGAAUCCCUCCGGGUCCGCCA